rnacentral:rRNA from 1 species
AACGAACGCUGGCGGCAGGCUUAACACAUGCAAGUCGAGCGCAUCCUUCGGGGUGAGCGGCGGACGGGUGAGUAACGCGUGGGAACGUGCCCUCUUCUACGGAAUAGCCUCGGGAAACUGAGAGUAAUGCCGUUUACGCCCGCAAGGGGAAAGAUUUAUCGGAGGAGGAUCGGCCCGCGUUGGAUUAGGUAGUUGGUGGGGUAACGGCCUACCAAGCCGACGAUCCAUAGCUGGUUUGAGAGGAUGAUCAGCCACACUGGGACUGAGACACGGCCCAGACUCCUACGGGAGGCAGCAGUGGGGAAUCUUGGACAAUGGGGGCAACCCUGAUCCAGCCAUGCCGCGUGAUCGAUGAAGGCCUUAGGGUUGUAAAGAUCUUUCAGCUGGGAAGAUAAUGACGGUACCAGCAGAAGAAGCCCCGGCUAACUCCGUG